AUGUCCACCAGGUCCGUGUCCUCCUCCUACCGCAGGAUGUUCGGCGGCCCCGGCACCGGGAGCUGGCCGAGCUCCACACGGAGCUACCUGACCACGUCCGCCCGCACCUACAACCUGGGCAAGCGCGUUGCGCCCCAGCACCAGCCGCAGCCUCUAUGCCUCGUCCCCGGGAGGCGCGUACGCCACGCGCUCCUCCGCCGUGAGCCUGCUGCAGGACUCGGUGGACUUCUCGCUGGCCGACGCCAUCAACACCGAGUUCAAGAACACCCGCACCAACGAGAAAGUGGAGCUGCAGGAGCUGAAUGACCGCUUUGCCAACUACAUCGACAAGGUGCGCUUCCUGGAGCAGCAGAACUAGAUCCUGCUAGCCGAGUAGAGCAGCUCAAGGGCCAGGGCAAGUCGCGCCUGGGGGACCUCUACGAGGAGGAGAUGCGGGAGCUGCGCCGGGAGGUGGACCAGCUCACCAAUGACAAGGCCCGCGUCGAGGUGGAGCGCGACAACCUGGCCGAGGACAUCAUGCGGCUCCGGGAGAAGUUGCAAGAGACGAUGCUUCAGAGAGAGGAAGCCGAGAGCACCCUGCAGUCUUUCAGACAGGAUGUUGACAGUGCUUCUUUGGCACGUCUUGACCUUGAGCGUAAAGUGGAAUCCUUGCAAGAAGAGAUUGCCUUUUUGAAGAAACUACAUGACGAGGAAACCCAGGAGCUGCAGGCCCAGAUUCAGGACCAGCAUGUCCAAAUCGAUAUGGAUGCUUCCAAGCCUGACCUCACGGCUGCCCUGCGUGACGUACGCCAGCAGUAUGAAAGCGUGGCUGCCAAGAACCUUCAGGAGGCCGAGGAAUGGUACAAGUCCAAGUUUGCUGACCUCUCUGAGGCUGCUAACCGGAACAACGAUGCUCUGCGCCAGGCAAAGCAGGAGUCGAAUGAGUACCGGAGACAGGUGCAGUCAGUCCCUCACCUGCGAAGUGGACGCCCUCAAAGGGACUAACGAGUCUCUGGAACGCCAGAUGCGUGAAAUGGAAGAGAACUUCGCCAUCGAAGCUGCUAACUACCAAGACACUAUUGGCCGCCUGCAGGAUGAGAUUCAGAACAUGAAGGAUGGCCCGUCACCUUCGGGAAUACCAGGACCUGCUGAAUGUCAAGAUGGCUCUCGACAUUGAGAGCCACCUACAGGAAGCUGCUGGAAGGCGAGGAGAGCAGGAUUGCUCUGCCUCUUCCAAACUUUUCUUCCCUGAACCUGAGGGAAACCAAUCUGGAUUCCCUCCCUCUGGUUGACACUCACUCAAAAAGGACACUUCUGAUUAAGACGGUUGAGACUAGAGAUGGACAGGUUAUCAAUGAAACUUCUCAGCAUCACGAUGACCUUGAGUAAAGAGGGCACAGAGUCGAUGCAGCAAUACUACCAGCAAGAAUAAAAAAA